CAAGAAGUCCAUCCUUACCAUUAGAACACAAUGUUCCGGACUAUUUAUACUUCUUUUCUUGAUUUGUUGUUAUCUCUUAUAAUAAUCGAGUGGCAAAAAUAUACAUUCCAAGACAUACAUAGAUAUUUUAGAAUACUUUUGAGAAUUCGGAUACGAAAAAAAGAAAAUGAUAAUAAAGAUUUAAACGAAAACUGUAAACACUCGAGAUUAUGUUUUGGUUGAGAAUAAUAAUAAUUUAUUUGAUAUAAUAAUGUAACAUGUGACAAAGUAGGAGGAACAAACAAUAUUGAUGCAAAUUUGCUUAGAAGUUCUCUUUCUGUUAUGUUCUAUAUUGGUUAUCUAUCACUAAUUUGGAUUUCUAAAUUGGUAAUUAUUUCAGAAUAGUUUAAUUAUUGUUGAAAAAAACAAUGGCCCUCA
rnacentral:lncRNA from 1 species